AUUGAACGCUGGCGGCAUGCUUUACACAUGCAAGUCGAACGGCAACAGGCCGCAAGGUGCUGACGAGUGGCGAACGGGUGAGUAAUGCAUCGGAACGUGCCCAGUCGUGGGGGAUAACUGCUCGAAAGAGCAGCUAAUACCGCAUACGAUCUAUGGAUGAAAGCGGGGGACCGUAAGGCCUCGCGCGAUUGGAGCGGCCGAUGUCGGAUUAGGUAGUUGGUGGGGUAAAGGCUCACCAAGCCAACGAUCUGUAGCUGGUCUGAGAGGACGACCAGCCACACUGGGACUGAGACACGGCCCAGAAUCCUACGGGAGGCAGCAGUGGGGAAUUUUGGACAAUGGGGGCAACCCUGAUCCAGCAAUGCCGCGUGCAGGAAGAAGGCCUUCGGGUUGUAAACUGCUUUUGUACGGAACGAAACGGUCUGGGUUAAUACCCUGGGCUAAUGACGGUACCGUAAGAAUAAGCACCGGCUAACUACGUGCCAGCAGCCGCCGUAAAAC
rnacentral:rRNA from 1 species